GAAAUUCAGCAACAGACUGAAGCUGGAUCAUGAAACUGGAUCUCUGACCAUCACAGACAUCAAAAUUAAACAUGCUGGACUUUAUAAACUUCAGAUCAACAGCGUGGUCCAAGAGUUUCAUUCUCACUGUCAAUGGUGGCGUAGCAUAUGUGCGGAUGCCAGUGUCAGUGAUGGAGGGAGAUUCAGUCACUCCUAAACACUGGUCUCACUGAAAUACAGACAGAUCAUUUGAUUCGGUGGACAUUUGGAAAUAAAAACACCAUAAUAGCUGAUGUAUUGCCUGACAGAUUCUCUGUGUAUGAUGAUGUUCUUGAUGGGAGAUUCAGAAACAGACUGAAGCUGGACAAACAAACUGGAUCUCUGACCAUCACAGACACCAGAACUCAACAUGCUGGAUAUUAUGAACUACAGGCCACACGUAUGAUGAUGGCUUUCUCUCUUAAUGUCUAUGGUGUUACAGAUGCAGUGGAGGCAGUGUCAGUGAAGGAGGGAGAUUCAGUCACUCUAAACUCUGAUCUUACUCAUUAGAUGGUGAUGUGUUUCAGUGGGUGUUCAUCAACUCUUUAAUAGCUCAUAUCAAUGUAAAGGCUGACCACAUUACUAUAUUUGAUUAUAAUGAUGGGAGAUUCAGAGACAGACUGAAGCUGGACAAACAAACUGGAUCUCUGACCAUCACAGACACCAGAAAUGCACACUCUGGACUUUAUGAACUACUGACCUACAGAGAGGCCAAAUCCUGGAAAUUCAGUCUUACAGUCUAUGCUAGUCCACCUGUACCUGUCAUUAGCAGAGACUGUUCUUCAUCAUCCUCAUCAUUAGGAUCG